rnacentral:sRNA from 2 species
AUACCUUCAUUUCCAUGAAGGUCACCGCUGUAGGGCAAUUGCAAAGGAGGCCUUGUUUCCCGGAUUUAGGACGAGGAUCAUGAUACACUCUUUCAUGCCCUCUGUCUUCUUCUCUUGACUUCCAAAGAAACGUACCCCUGACGAGGAAGAACGGGGUCGGAGUGUUGAGGAACAUCAAGGCGAAACUUGUCCUCAUCUAAUGCCAGUCUUUGUGUGAAGAAUGACUGUGGAGCCAUGACACAGCCACAGCAGUCCACUAGCGAGCGAAAUAUUGAGUCGAACAGCACAUUAUCAUUCAUGCUCUCUCUGGAUCAGCGAUAUGGCAAGGGGAAAGCUUGCUUCAAACCUGGUCAACAACGAGGCAAUCAUCAACCUGAUAAGUCACUAGUUAACUAACCUUGAGUUAGUUACACCAAGG